rnacentral:sRNA from 1 species
AGUAAUGAAUAAUAGAUUUGAAAUAUUUAUUAUAUAGAUUUAAAGAAAUAAUCAUAGAAUACAUAAGUUAUUAAUAGUUAUUAGGUUACUAAUAAAUAAAUAAAUAAAUUUAUUUUAAUACCUAAGGUAAACCAUAAAAAAUUAUUUAUUUAAAUAAAUAAUUAUUAUAAAUAUACUAAGUGAACUGAAACAUCUAAGUAACUUAAGGAUAAAAAAUCAACCGAGAUAUUAUGAGUAUUGGUGAGAGAAAAUAAUAUAGUUAAUAAUCCAUAUCGCCUACACCCUUUAGGGGUGUUGGAUAGGUAGGAUUAUAUAUAAGUAUUAUGUAAUAUAAUUAUGUAAGAAUAUAGGACAAACUAGUUCUAAAACUAAAUACUAUUAAUAAACAAAAUAAGUACCGAAAGGGAAAGUAUGUAAGUGGUUAUUUUAUAAGUAAUCAUAGAUAUAAAUUUUAUAUUAAUGAUGUACCUUUUGUAUAAUGGGUCAGCAAGUAAUUAAUAUUAGCAAAAUCAAUAAAAUUAUAAAAAAAUUGAUAAUAUUUCCUUUUUUAUAUUGGAUAAUUAAGUUAAUAUUAAUUGACCCGAAAGCAAAUGAUCUUACUAUGACCAGACGGUUAAACGGUCGAACAGGUUGAUGUUGCAAUAUCAUCUGAUGAGUUGUGGUAAGUAGUGAAAGACAAAUCUGAUUUGCAGAUAGCUGGUUUUCUACGAAAUAUAUGUUAGUAUAGCUUUUAUAAUAAUAAUUAUUAUAAUCCAACGGAUUAUAAAGAACGGUACAGCAACAAAUAUAUUUAGGGGAACUAUUGUAGUUUUAUCAAAAAUAUUUGAUCUCGAAAUGUUUAAUUAUGAUUAUAAGAAGUCAGAUUAUGUGCGAUAAGGUAAAUAAUCUAAAGGGAAACAGCCCAGAUUAAUAUAUAAGGUUCCUAAUUACAUGAAAUAAUAAGUGAAAUAAAUAUUAAAAUAUUAUAAUACAAUCAGUUAAUGGAUUUGACAAUAACCAUUUUUUAAUGAACAUGUAACAAUGCACUGAUCUAUAUAUAAUCUUUUUAAUAAGAUUAUUAUUAUAUAAUAUUAUAAAUUUUUCUUUAUAAAAAAAGAAAAUUAAUAAACAAUAUACGGAUCUUUUACAAAAAUUUUAAAAAUUAUUUAACCGAAUAUUUAAAUAUUAUUAUUAAUUUAAAUAAUAAUAAUAUGGUAGUAGAACAUUUAAUGAAAAAAUAUAUUAAUUAUUAAUUAAUAUAUAAUAAAAUAUAUAAAUAUAUUUUUAAUAAUUUUGUAUUUUUGUAUAAAAAUACAAAAUUAUGAAAUAGUAAUUAAAUAGAGAAUGCUGACAUGAGUAACGAAAAAAAGGUUAAACCUUUUCACCUAAAACAUAAGGUUUUACUAUAAAAGUACGGCCCUUAAUUAAAUUAUAUAAAUAUAAUCUAAGAUAGGAUAAUUCUAAAUUAAAUAUUACAUCUUUUAUUUAUCAAAAAAUUAUAAAAGAUCAAGAAAUACUUUUAAUUUAUACCGUAAUGUAUACCGACUCAGGUAUGUUAGUAGAGAAUAUUAAGGUGAAUUAGAUAAUUAAAGGGAAGGAACUCGGCAAAAAUAGCUCUAACGUUAGUCAAUAAAGAGAUAAUUAAAAACAAGGUUGUACAACUGUUUAAUAAAAACACCGCACUUUGCAUAAACGAUAAGUUAACGUAUAAGGUGUGAACUCUGCUCCAUGCUUAACAUAUAAAUAAUAUUAUUUAAUGAUAAUAUUAUUAAAUUUAAGUAAAUAGCAGCCUUAUUAUGAGGGUUCUAAGGUAGCGAAAUUCAUUGUCCAAUAAUUAUGGUCCUGCAUGAAUGACGUAAUGAUACAACAACUGUCUCCCCUUUAAGCUAAGUGAAAUUAAAAUCGCAGUGAAGAUGCUGUGUACCUAUAGUGUGACGGAAAGACCCUAUGCAGCUUUACUGUAAUUAGAUAGAUCGAAUUAUUGUAUAUUAUAUUCAGAAUAUUAAGUAAUUGAUUAAAUUUAAAUGAGAUACUUAUUAUAAUAAUAUAAUAAUUCUAAUCUUAAUAAAACCUUUUAUAAGGUUAUUUAAUAGAUAUUAUUCUUAAAUAAAAUAUUAUAUAUUAUGUAUAUAUUAUAUAUAUAGUUCCCCCCCCCUUGCGGGGGGGGGGCAACGAAGUAGUUAAUAUAUAAUAUAAUAAUAAGAGACAAUCUCUAAUUGGUAGUUUUGAUGGGGCGUCAUUUUCAGCAAUAAUAUCUGAAUAAGUCUAUAUAUAAAUUAUAAUAUUAUUUAAAAAAUAAAAAUAUAUAUUAUAUAUAUUAAUUAUAAAUAGGAAUAUAUUUCUUUAAAGAAAUUUUUAUUUUUUUUAAGUUAUAUAUUUUUGUAAUAGAAAAAAUCAUGUAUAGUAAAAUUGUCUAGAAAACAAUAAUAAUAAUAUUAUUUCUAUUUAGUAGAAAUUUAUAUUAUAUAAUAAAAUGUAUUAAAUUAAUAUAAUGGUAUAACUAUGCAACAAUUAUAACACAAACAAGUGAAAUAAGUACGUAAGUAUGGCAUAAUGAACAAAUAACACUGAUUGUAAUGGUUAUUGAUAACGAAUAAAAGUUACGCUAGGGAUAACAGGGUAAUAUAGCGAAAGAGUAGAUAUUGUAAGCUAUGUUUGCCACCUCGAUGUCGACUCUACCUAUCCUCUUGGUUGUAAAUGCUAAGAAGGGUUUGACUGUUCGUCAAUUAAAAGGUAACGUGAGUUGGGUUAAAUACGAUGUAAAUCAGUAUGGUUCCUAUCUACUAUAGGUAAUAUUAUCAACUUAAGUCUUAUUCUUAGUACGCAAGGAUCAGAAUGAAUUAAUCCAUGGUGUAUCUAUUGAUUAUUUUAUAAUAUAUAUAUAUAUUUAUAUAUAUAUAUUAUCUAUAUUAAUUUAUAUUUAAUAUUAUAGUCACAGUAGAUAAGCUAAAUUAAUAAAUAAUAAGUAUUGAAAGCAUAUAAAAUACGAAGUUGUCUUAAGAUGAGAUAAUAAUCUGAUUAUUUUAGACUAAAAUAAUAUAAGUAUCCAAUCCCACUACCUCCUUCGGAGGUGGAGGGAAUCAGAUCAAUAAAAUAGGUUUUUUAUAUAUAUAUAUAAAAAAAUACUAAUUUAUCAGUUAUCUAUAUAAUAUCUAAUCUAUUAUUCAUUAAUAUAACCCUAUAUAAAUCUAUGAAAGAGGUGAAAUAUAAUUUAAUAUUUCUAUUAUAUUUGUUCAUUUAUUUUAUUUUAUUUUAUUUUAUUUUAUUUAAUUGGUAUUUGAAUCUCAUAUAAAAAUAUAGUUAUAUUAGCUCAAUUGGUAGAGCGUUCGUUUUGUAAUCGAAAGGUUUGGGGUUCAAAUCCCUAAUAUAACAUAAUAUACUUUUUCCAUAAUAGAUACCAUCUUUCCUCCUUUCCCUCCUGUUAUAUAAAUAAAAUUUGUAGUUCCCCCCCUUGCGGGGGGGGGGACGACGGA